CACGUAGGGUGCGAGCGUUGUCCGGAAUUAUUGGGCGUAAAGAGCUCGUAGGCGGUGUGUCGCGUCGGCCGUGAAAACCUGCAGCUUAACUGUGGGCGUGCGGUCGAUACGGGCAUCACUGGAGUUCGGGCAGGGGAGACUGGAAUUCCUGGUGUAGCGGUGAAAUGCGCAGAUAUCAGGAGGAACACCGGUGGCGAAGGCGGGUCUCUGGGCCGAUACUGACGCUGGAG
rnacentral:rRNA from 1 species